UACGUAGGGUGCGAGCGUUGUCCGGAAUUAUUGGGCGUAAAGGGCUCGUAGGCGGUCUGUUGCGUCGGGAGUGAAAACUCAGGGCUUAACCCUGAGCCUGCUUCCGAUACGGGCAGACUAGAGGUAUGCAGGGGAGAACGGAAUUCCUGGUGUAGCGGUGAAAUGCGCAGAUAUCAGGAGGAACACCGGUGGCGAAGGCGGUUCUCUGGGCAUGUCCUGACGCUGAGGAGCGAA
rnacentral:rRNA from 1 species